UUACUCAAAUACUUCCGGGAACUAGAUUUAUUUCCUACUAGCAGAAUACGCGGGGCUUGGUUGACUUGUAAGCGAAUAAUGUGCUUACUGCAGUUAAACUUGUGCUUUGAGUUUAUAACGAAGAAAAUUUAGCUGAAUGAAAUAGUAAGGCAUCUACCACUUAUUUUAUAAAUAAAAUUCUAUUGUAAAGUUUAUUUUAUUUUAUAAUUUGGGCUCUGUAGACAACAAAAUGCAAAAGAAAAUCAUUAGUCAGGAAUCUAGGUUGUGCGGUGCCAUCUACGGUAAUACCUUAUUCACUAUAAGGAAAUUCGCUAAAAAGUGGUUUUUAAAAUCAAAUGUGAUCUUAUAAUGACAUUUAUCCAUCUUGUUAUAGAGAGAACUGGAUUAUUUUGUUGUGUUUAUUAAAUAUAUCUUCUCUAUUCUACAUCAAAGUAAUAAUAUCAAGAAUAGCAUCUUAGAAAGAGCCUUACAUGAAAUCAAUAGGAGUGAUAAACUUACAGACUACCGGUACUAGAAAUAUUAAAAAGCCAUGGAAACUAUGUCAAUAACUUGAACAAUAAAAUAACAAAGAAUAAUUUAAAUUAUAGUUUUGGAGAGGAACAGCAAAUCAGAAUUUGUCAUGUAAGUCAAAAAGCACUAAAAGUGAACAAGAAAACUGCUGUCCACCAGUAUAAUAAUGUAUCUAUGAUGAAAUUAAUGUCAGGAUCGAGGCCAGAAUGAAUGAAGCUGACGUUUUCUUGUUCAUGCUGUUUAUUUCAUUCUUUGUUAUGCUUCUGAAUGGGAAAAUCAACAUGACACCAAUUCUUAUAUUGCUUGUGAUUACCAUGGUAUACAUCCUGAUUGCCAAACUUUAGUGAGAGAUGACAAAUUUUACUAGCGAUUCGAAAGCUAUACACAAC